rnacentral:rRNA from 1 species
GACGAACGCUGGCGGCGUGCUUAACACAUGCAAGUGGAGCGACGAACCAGGCUUCGGCCUGGGGCAAAGCCGCGAACGGGUGAGUAACACGUGGGUAACCUGCCCCGAUGACCGGGACAACCCGAGGAAACUCGGGCUAAUACCGGAUGUGCUGCCCUCACGCGAGUGAGGGUUGCAAAGGAAGCUUCGGCCUCCGCAUUGGGAUGGGCCCGCGGCCCAUUAGCUUGUUGGUGAGGUAACGGCNCACCAAGGCUGCGAUGGGUAGCUGGUCUGAGAGGACGAUCAGCCACACUGGGACUGAGAC